rnacentral:rRNA from 1 species
UGCAGAAUCCCGUGAACCAUCGAGUUUUUGAACGCAAGUUGCGCCCGAAGCCAUUAGGCCAAGGGCACGUCUGCCUGGGCGUCUAAU